UGGGGAAUUUUGGACAAUGGGGGAAACCCUGAUCCAGCCAUCCCGCGUGUGCGAUGAAGGCCUUCGGGUUGUAAAGCACUUUUGGCAGGAAAGAAACGUCGCGGGUUAAUACCCCGCGAAACUGACGGUACCUGCAGAAUAAGCACCGGCUAACUACGUGCCAGCAGCCGCGGUAAUACGUAGGGUGCAAGCGUUAAUCGGAAUUACUGGGCGUAAAGCGUGCGCAGGCGGUUCGGAAAGAAAGAUGUGAAAUCCCAGAGCUUAACUUUGGAACUGCAUUUUUAACUACCGGGCUAGAGUGUGUCAGAGGGAGGUGGAAUUCCGCGUGUAGCAGUGAAAUGCGUAGAUAUGCGGAGGAACACCGAUGGCGAAGGCAGCCCCCUGGGAUAACACUGACGCUCAUGCACGGAAGCGUGGGGAGCAAACAGGAUUAGAUACCCUGGUAGUCCACGCCCUAAACGAUGUCAACUAGCUGUUGGGGCCUUCGGGCCUUGGUAGCGCAGCUAACGCGUGAAGUUGACCGCCUGGGGAGUACGGUC
rnacentral:rRNA from 1 species